rnacentral:rRNA from 1 species
UACGAAGGGGGCUAGCGUUGCUCGGAAUGACUGGGCGUAAAGGGCGCGUAGGCGGUUUGGACAGUCAGGCGUGAAAUUCCCGGGCUUAACCUGGGGGCUGCGCUUGAUACAUCCAGGCUUGAGUAUGGGAGAGGUGAGUGGAAUUCCUGGUGUAGCGGUGAAAUGCGUAGAUAUCAGGAGGAACACCUGUGGCGAAAGCGGCUCACUGGACCAUAACUGACGCUGAUGCACGAAAGCUAGGGGAGCAAACAGG